UUCAUCGUCGAAACCGAAUCAUAUAAUCAUAUUUUUGAUCUUCACUGACUAAUUUUGAAUUUAAUUUAGUUGACUAGAAUCUCAGUUUGUUUCCUAUACUAUUCCAAUAAAUUCGCAUAGCAACGAUCAAGGCAAGUUUUCAAAAUUCAGUAUUUUGAAUAUAAAGGGGAUGUGAAUAUUUUGCCUUGGACAUAAUUUUAAUUGAUUUUACGGAAAUUUUCCAUGUGCAUGUCUGCCACAAGUACACUACAAGUCUUCUUGAUGCGAUAUGUGCGCUAAAUAGGCCUGGGACGGAUCCGGAUAUCCGGAAAAAUCAGGGUAUCUGGAUCCCGAUCCGGAUCCGUCUGAUCCGUGGAUUUAAUAUCUGGAUCCGGAUUCGUGGUUUCCGGAUAUCCGGAUAUGUGCUCAUUAAUAUUGGCCGAAUUUGGUAAUGGAAAUUCAUCGUCGAAACCGAACCAUAUAAUUAUAUUUUUGAUCUUCACUGAAUAAUUUUAAAUUUAAUUUAGUUGACUAGAAUCUCAGUUUGUUUCCUAUACUAUUCCAAUAAAUUCGCAUAGCAACGAUCAAGACAAAUUUUCAAAAUUCCGUAUUUUGAAUAUAAAGGGGAUGUGAAUAUUUUGCCUUGGACAUAAUUUUAAUUGAUUUUACGGAAAUAAUUAUGGCAAAUAGCUAUAAUUGCCAUCGGCCCGCGUCUUGCAUAUAUAAAUACAAAGCCGUAUGAUUACAGGGGGG
rnacentral:lncRNA from 1 species